rnacentral:rRNA from 1 species
UUCGCCCUUUUCGGUUGAUCCUGCCGGACCCGACUGCUAUUUGGGUGAGAAUAAGCCAUGCGAGUUGAAUGGAACACCUAAUCGUUCCAUAGCAAACUGCUCAGUAACACAUGAUCAACUUACCCUACAGAGAAAAAUAACCUCGGGAAACUGAGGAUAAUGUUUCAUAAUUGAAAAGGCUUGGAAAAGUUUUUCAAUAAAAGGAAUGAGAAAAAUGGUUCUCAUUUGCUGUAGGAUAGGAUCGUGCUCGAUUAGGGCUGUUGGUGAGGUAACGGCUCACCAAACCGAUAAUCGAUAGGGGCCGUGAGAGCGGGAGCCCCGAGAUGGGUACUGAGACAACGACCCAGACCUUACGAGGUGCAGCAGGCGCGGGACCUCCGCAAUACACGAAAGUGUGACGGGGUUACCCAAAGUGUUCUAAGAACUGUGGUAGGUGAGUAAUGUUCCCUACUAGAAAGGAGAGGGCAAGGCUGGUGCCAGCCGCCGCGGUAAAACCAGCUCUUCAAGUGGUCGGGAUGAUUAUUGGGCUUAAAGUGUCCGUAGCCGGUUUAGUAAGUUCUUGGUAAAAUCAGGUAGCUUAACUAUCUGUAUGCUAAGAAUACUGCUUUACUAGAGGGUGGGAGAGGUCUGAGGUACUAUAGGGGUAGGGGUGAAAUCUUAUAAUCCUUGUAGGACCACCAGUGGCGAAGGCGUCAGACUGGAACACGCCUGACGGUGAGGGACGAAAGCCAGGGGAGCGAACCGGAUUAGAUACCCGGGUAGUCCUGGGCGUAAACGAUGCAUAUUAGGUGAUGGUACGGCUAUGAGCCGUAUCAGUGCCGUAGGGA